rnacentral:rRNA from 1 species
UACAGAGGUCUCAAGCGUUGUUCGGAUUCAUUGGGCGUAAAGGGUGCGUAGGUGGCGGGGUAAGUCAGGUGUGAAAUUUCGGAGCUUAACUCCGAAACUGCAUUUGAUACUGCCUUGCUUGAGGACUGGAGAGGAGAUUGGAAUUUACGGUGUAGCAGUGAAAUGCGUAGAUAUCGUAAGGAAGACCAGUGGCGAAGGCGAAUCUCUGGACAGUUACUGACACUGAGGCACGAAGGCCAGGGGAGCAAACGGG